AUACUUACCUGACCAGGAAGAUUCCAUGAUCAUGAAGGUGGUUUUCCCAGGAUAAGGCUUAUCCAUUGCACUCCAGAUGGGCUGACCCUUGAAAUUUCCCCAAAUACAGGAAACUUGACUGCAUUGA
rnacentral:snRNA from 1 species